rnacentral:lncRNA from 1 species
CACCACCAUCACCACCAUCACUAUCACCACCACCAUCACUAUCACCACCACCACCAUUACCACCAACACUGUCACCACCACCACCGUCCCUACCACCAUCACCACCAUCACUAUCACCACCACCAUCAUCACCACCAUCACUAUCACCACCACCACCACCAUCACUAUCACCACCACCAUAAUCAUCACCACCAUCACUAUCACCACCACCAUCAUCACCACCAUCACUAUCACCUCCACCAUCAUCAUCACCAACACUAUCAUUAUCACUACCAUCACCACCACCACCAUUACCACCACCACCAACACCACCACCAUCACUAUCACUACCAUCACCAUCACCACCAUCAUCAUAAUCACCACCAUUACCACCAUCACCACCAUCCUUAUCACCACCACCAACACCAUCACCACCAUCACUAUCACUACCAUCACCAACACCACCAUCAUAAUCACCACCACCAUUACCACCAUCGCCACCAUCCUUAUCACCAUCACCAUCACCACCAUCACUAUCACUACCAUCACCAACACCACCACCAUCAUAAUCACCACCACCAUUACCACCAUCGCCACCAUCCUUAUCACCAUCACCAUCACCACCAUCACUAUCACUACCAUCACCAACACCACCACCAUCAUAAUCACUACCACCAUCACUAUCACUACCAUCACCAACACCACCACCAUCAUAAUCACCACCACCAUUACCACCAUCGCCACCAUCCUUAUCACCAUCACCAUCACCACCAUCACUAUCACUACCAUCACCAACACCACCACCAUCAUAAUCACCACCACCAUUACCACCAUCGCCACCAUCCUUAUCACCAUCACCAUCACCACCAUCACUAUCACUACCAUCACCAACACCACCACCAUCAUAAUCACUACCACCAUCACUAUCACUACCAUCACCAACACCACCACCAUCAUAAUCACCACCACCAUUACCACCAUUGCCACCAUCCUUAUCACCAUCACCAUCACCACCAUCACUAUCACUACCAUCACCAACACCACCACCAUCAUAAUCACCACCACCAUUACCACCAUCACCAUCACCACCAUCCUUGUCAUCACCACCAUCACUCUGUGGUGGUACCACCAGUACCACUGUUACCAUCAUUAUCAUUAUCACCACCACCACCAAUGAUAACCAUUACCAUCAUUAUCAUCACCAUCACCACCAUAGCCACUCCACUGUGUCCUGUGUGGGCUGCCAUGUUAAGAGCCAGAUGA